GUGAAAUUGUUGAAAGGGAAACGAUUGAAGUCAGUCGUACCGACGGAAAAUCAGCUCUUCGAGUGCGAACUUGUGGGCGUACGUGAGCUUUAACCGGCCUCGUUGUUUGCGAUGUUUGUGCUUUUUGGGUGUACUUUUUCGUAUGGUUGGCCAACGUCAGUCUCGGUUACCAUAAAAUGAUUGGAGGAAUGUAGCUUCGAUCUUGUAUUGAAGUGUUAUAGCCUCUGGUAGAUGUGGUGAACGAAACUGAGGAUUGCAACGAAUACCCUUCGGGCUAUCCGUCUGACCUCUGAAAGUUGCUUGGGUGCCGAAAGCUUGCUUACGGUCAUCCAUGACGACGGUCAAAAGGUUAGAACGUGAUUACAUUCGUUAAGGACGUUGACGUAAUGGCUUUAAACGAC
rnacentral:rRNA from 1 species